rnacentral:lncRNA from 1 species
GAUGACUGCCACAGCAUGGUGUGCCAAGUGGUGCCAUGUCCGCACCCAGGAUCCGAACCGGUGAACCCCAGGCCGCCAAAGCGGAACGUGCGAAUUUAACCGCUGCACCACCGGGCCGGCCCAGCCUCUCUUGACAGAUGAAGAAACUGAGGCUGAGAGACGUUAAGUUUCCAGAAAAUGCGUGGCGUGUGUGUGAACCCAGGGACCUCGGCCAGGAAUAUCGUGGCUUUAAGAGACUGAAACUCAGAUCCUUGCUGUCUGGAGGCCUUGUUUCCACAUCUGUAAAAUAAGAAAGCAGAGUGAGCCAGACUGGGUGACCCGGGAGACCUUGUGUCCCUCCUAGAUGCCUUCAUUUAUUGGUUCAUUCCGUUGACGGGCGUUUAUUGAGGCAGGAUGGGGCAGUGGUUAAGGACAAAGACUUUGGACUCAGGCAGACCCAGGUUGGAAUCCCAACUCUGGCUGUCUGUUGGCUGUGUGACCAUAGACAAGUCACCUAACCUCUGUGAACAUGAAUUGCUGCCUCUGCAAAUCAGGAAUAAUAAUAAUACUUAAGUCAAGGAAUCGAGGGAGAUUAAAUGACAUGAGUGCCUAGGGGCCUUGUGGGAACAGCCCCAGCCGUGCCCUCGUGGGCUCACAAUCUAGAGGGAGAGACAGACCCGUCCCCAGUCAGCGAUGACUCAGAGUGGGCACGGCUGGAAUGGGGUCGCCCAGAGAAGUCGGCUGACCCAGCCUGGGGGUCAGGAGGGCUUCCUGGGGGAGGAGGCAUCAGAGCUGAGCAGUGACGGACAUGGUAAGCACUCAAGACUUAGGAAUCAUCUGUGCAAAAGACAGUCUGUGGACAUGUAGAGCAAGGGAAUAUUACACGGUCUGGGGAGACGGCUUAGCUCCAGCCAUUCGUUCAUCCUGCUAACAUCCCCUGCUCUGCUCUCGCAUCAGUGACCAGGACAGCCCUGGCCCUGACCUCCCCGGGCUCACAGAUUACCAGCGAGGACAGACAUCAAACAAGCCAUGAUCCAAAUCAUUACUUCCAAAGGAAAUCACAGAAAGUUGGAAAAUCACAUUGUAAGAAGACCUUUCCUCUGACAUUCAUGAAUUCCUCCCUCUGUCACCUCCCAACCAUGAGCCCAUCCGCAGAGACAAUACAUUCACUCAAUAAGCAUUUAUGAAGCUUUUUUUUUUUUUUUUUUUUUUUUUUGCUGAGGAAGAUUGGCCCCGUAUUAAGCUCUUUCUGAAGGCAGGACACACUGUCUGCCAUCACGGAGUUCUCAACAGGCCUUGUUCCGAUUUUGCUACUUGAUCAAAUGGAGACAACAUGAGUUGACAGGGACAGUGCCACUGCCCCGUUCAAUCAAUGCAACCAGAAGAGCUUCUUACAACCAAUAUCUCAUAGGUCCCUCCUCUUAUGCCCUUUGGUGGCUCCCUGUGGCUCAGAAAGCAAAGACCAAGUACAUCACCAGUUCUUAACCCC